rnacentral:rRNA from 1 species
UACGAAGGGGGCUAGCGUUGCUCGGAAUCACUGGGCGUAAAGCGCACGUAGGCGGCUUUUUAAGUCAGGGGUGAAAUCCUGGAGCUCAACUCCAGAACUGCCUUUGAUACUGGGAAGCUUGAGUCCGGGAGAGGUGAGUGGAACUCCGAGUGUAGAGGUGAAAUUCGUAGAUAUUCGGAAGAACACCAGUGGCGAAGGCGGCUCACUGGCCCGGUACUGACGCUGAGGAGCGAAAGCAUGGGGAGCAAACCGG